rnacentral:rRNA from 1 species
AGUCACUGCUAUUGGGAUUCGACUAAGCCAUGCGAGUCGAGAGGGUUCGGCCCUCGGCCGACGGCUCAGUAACACGUGGGUAAUCUGCCCUUAGGUGGAGGAUAAUCUCGGGAAACUGAGGAUAAUACUCCAUAGAUCUAGGAUGCUGGAAUGCAUCUAGAUUGAAAGCUCCGGCGCCUAAGGAUGAGUCUGCGGACUAUCAGGUUGUAGUCAGGGUAAAGACCUGACUAGCCUACGACGGAUACGGGUUGUGAGAGCAAUAACCCGGAGACGAUAUCUGAGACACGAUAUCGGGCCCUACGGGGCGCAGCAGGCGCGAAAACUUCACACUGUGCGAAAGCGCGAUGAGGGAAUCCCAAGUGUUUGCUCGUAAGAGUAAACUGUUUCUUUGUUUAAAACGCAGAGAGAGUAAGGGCUGGGUAAGACGGGUGCCAGCCGCCGCGGUAAUACCUGCAGCUCGAGUGGUGAUCAUUAUGUUGGGCCUAAAACGUCCGUAGCCGGUUUAGUAAAUGCCUGGGUAAAUCGUGUAGCUUAACUAUACGACUUCCGGGUAGACUGCUAAACUUGAGACCGGGAGAGGCUAGAGGUACUCCUGGGGUAGAGGUGAAAUUCUGUAAUCCUAGGGGGACCACCAGUGGCGAAGGCGUCUAGCUAGAACGGGUCUGACGGUGAGGGACGAAGCCCUGGGGCACAAACCGGAUUAGAUACCCGGGUAGUCCAGGGUGUAAACGCUGCUUGCUUGAUGUUAGUCGGGCUCCGAGCCCGAUUAGUGUCGGAGAGAAGUUGUUAAGCAAGCUGCCUGGGAAGUACGGUCGCAAGACUGAAACUUAAAGGAAUUGGCGGGGGAGCACAGCAACGGGUGGAGCGUGCGGUUUA